GAUGAACGCUGGCGGCGUGCUUAACACAUGCAAGUCGAGCGAAGCGCUUAAGUUUGAUUCUUCGGAUGAAGACUUUUGUGACUGAGCGGCGACGGGUGAAGGUACGCGUGGUAACCUGCCUCAUACAGGGGGAUAACAGUUAGAAAUGGCUGCUAAUACCGCAUAAGACCACAGUACUGCAUGGUACAGUGGUAAAAACUCCGGUGGUAUGAGAUGGACCCGCGUCUGAUUAGGUAGUUGGUGAGGUAACGGCCCACCAAGCCGACGAUCAGUAGCCGACCUGAGAGGGUGACCGGCCACAUUGGGACUGAGACACGGCCCAG
rnacentral:rRNA from 1 species